UAAGUGCUGUAAUGCCAUCGAUCAGGCG
rnacentral:sRNA from 1 species